rnacentral:lncRNA from 1 species
GUUCUCGAAUUCACAGUUACUUGUGCUCUAAUCUCCAUAGUGUUUCUAGUUAUUUGUCUUCUCAAAUCACUUUUGUUGUUGAGGAAUUCUACUAUCAAGAAUUGUUUAUGGCUGUUGAUGCUUAUCUGGGUACCAAAUUGGCAGCUUCUGUUGGAAGCGUAAAAGCAAGCAAGCAAGAGGGUGAGAAAAAAAUAGCAAUCACCAUGCACAAAGAUGAAGAAACUUGUGAUGUUUUUGAAGAUGUAGAAGUGAAGUGGAAAUUGAUUUUUAAAGAAUUGCGAAGCUACGAGCUAACUUUUAACAAGAAACACAAAGAGAAGGUGCUGAAUAAUUACCUGCCACACAUUCUGCAGCAAGCAGAAGCCAUUAAAGAAGACAAUAAGAUAAGAAAGAUCAACAUGCUUCAACGUAUGACAAUGGUGUCAUCAGCAGAAUUUCAUCAUCCAAUGACCUUUUCCACCAUUGCGAUGGAUGAAGAGCUUAAACAAGAAGUAAUGAAUGAUUUGAACACAUUCAUGAACUCCAAAGAAUACUACAGAAGGAUUGGGAAAGCUUGGAAACGCACAUACUUGAUACAUGGUCCUCCAGGAGCAGGCAAGUCCAGCUUGAUUGCUGCAAUUGCUAAUCACUUGAACUACAACAUAUAUCAAGUAGAUCUAUCAUAUUUCC